rnacentral:rRNA from 1 species
UACGUAGGGGGGCAAGCGUUGUCCGGAAUUAUUGGGCGUAAAGAGCGCGUAGGCGGUCCGAUAAGUCGGCUGUGAAAGUCCAGGGCUCAACCCUGGAAAGCCGGCCGAUACUGUCGGACUAGAGUCCGGAAGAGGCAAGUGGAAUUCCCGGUGUAGCGGUGAAAUGCGCAGAUAUCGGGAGGAACACCAAUGGCGAAGGCAGCUUGCUGGGACGGUACUGACGCUGAGGCGCGAAAGCGUGGGGAGCAAACAGG